ensembl:lncRNA
CUACCCCUUUGGACCUUUUCUUCCUAUUUCAAAUUAUCAAUUCAUUUUAAUCAUUUUGUUUUGUUUUGUUUUGUUGUUGUUUUUUGGUACUGGGGAUUGAACUGUGGACAUUGUGCUCGCUAGGCAGGUAGCAGAACCACUGAGCUAAAUCCCCAGCCCCAUUUAAAUCAUUUUAAUCCUUAUUUACACUUUCAGUUUCUCACACCAGAGAAGGUAUUCGGUAUUUACACGUGUCCUAUUUAUUUCACUUAAGAGUAUGGCCUCAAUAUGCAUCCAUGUAGCUAUAAAUGUCUCUAGUUUCUCAUUCUUUAUGGCUGAGUAGUACUCCAUUUUAUAAAAAAUACAUCUUCCUUAUCCAAUCUCCACUUGAUGGGUACUUGGGCUGUUUCCAAGCUUUAGCUAUUACAAACUGUGCCGCUAUAAAGAUGGGUGCACAUAUAUCACUGUGGUAUGAUUCUUUUAAUUCUUUUGGGAAGAUACCCAGCAGGGGAAUAGCUGGGUCAAAUGGGACCUGUAGUCCUAGUUCUUUGAGGUAUCUCCAUACUGAUUUCCACAGUGGUUGCAGCAGUCUGCACUCCCACCAGCAAUAGAGAAGGGUUCCUUUCCACACACCUGCCAGCAUUUGUUAUUGGUUGAUUUCUUGAUAGCAGCCAUACUUUCUGGAGUGAGGUGGAAUCUUUGUUGUUGUCAUUUGUAUCUCUUGAAUGACCAGUGAUGUUGAACAUUUUUUCAUAUGUUUAUUUGCUGCUUUUACUUCUUUGUCUGAGAAAUGUCUGUUCAUUUCAGAUGCUCAUUUUUGAAUUGGGUCUUUAAAUUUGGGGGGGUCUGAUUUUUUUCAGUUCUUUAUAUAUUCUAGAUAGUUCUUUGAGGUACAGCUGCUAAAAUUUUUUUCCCACAGUGUAGGUUGUUGUCUCUUAACUCUGUUGGUGGUUUCUCUUGCAGUGCAGAAGCUUUUUAAUGAGAUCCCAGUUGUUGAUUCUUUGUGCUAGUUUCUGUGCUACUGAGGUUCAUAAUGUCUUUUCCUAUGCCAAUGUCUUCAAGAGUUCUACCUAACUUAUUUUCCAGCAAGUUUAGUGUUUCUGCCUUAAUAUUUAGAUCUUUAAUCCACUUUGACCUUAGUUUAGUGCAUGGUGAUAGGUAUGGGUCUAGUUUUAAUUUUUGGCAGGUUGAAAUCCAGUUUUUCCAACAUCAUUUAUUAAGUAGGCUAUCUUUCCUCCAAUGAAGGUGUUUGGCUCCUUUGUCAAAGAUGAUGUGGCUGAGUAUGUCUGGUGUUGUGUUUGCAUCUUCUUAUCUAGUCCACUGACCCUAGGGUCUGUUUUCUUUGCCAGUACCAUGCUGUUUUUAUCACAGUAGCUUUGUAGUAUAGUUUCAAGUUGGGGAUUGUGAUACUCCCUGCCAUGUCUCUGUUGCCUAGAAUAGCUUUUGCUAUUCUAGGUCUCUUCUGGUUCCAAAUGAAUUUUUGGAUUGUUUUCUCUAGUUCUGUGAAAUAUAUUGUUGGAAUUUCAGUCAGCAUUGCAUUAAAUCUAUAAAGCAGUUUUGGAAGUAUGGCCAUUUUCACUAUAUUGGUUCUUCCUACCCAGGAACAAGGGAUGUCUAAGAUAACUUUAAAAGCAUAAAUUUAAGAAGCAUUAGCCUCAAGGAAGGUGUCGAAAUACAGACUAAUGCCAUAUAAAUUA